CUGGUGUCAGCCGCCGCGGUAAUACCAGCACCUCGAGUGGUCAGGACGUUUAUUGGGCCUAAAGCAUCCGUAGCCGGCUCUGCAAGUCUUCGGUUAAAUCCACCUGCUCAACAGAUGGGCUGCUGGAGAUACUACAGAGCUAGGGAGUGGGAGAGGCAGACGGUAUUCAGUGGGUAGGGGUAAAAUCCUCUGAUCCAUUGAGGACCACCAGUGGCGAAGGCGGUCUGCCAGAACACGUUCGACGGUGAGGGAUGAAAGCUGGGGGAGCAAACCGGAUUAGAUACCCGGGUAGUCCCAGCUGUAAACGAUGCAAACUCGGUGAUGCAUUGGCUUAUGGCCAAUGCAGUGCCGCAGGGAAGCCGUUAAGUUUGCCGCCUGGGAAGCACGGACGCAAGUCUGAAACUUAAAGGAAUUGGCGGGGGAGCACCACAAGGGGUGAAGCCUGCGGUUCAAUUGGAGUCAACGCCAGGAAUCUUACCCGGGGAGACAGCAGAAUGAAGGUCAAGCUGAAGACUUUACCAGACAAGCU
rnacentral:rRNA from 2 species